rnacentral:rRNA from 1 species
UACGUAGGCAGCGAGCGUUGUUCGGAGUUACUGGGCGUAAAGGGUGUGUAGGCGGUUGUUUAAGUUUGGUGUGAAAUCUCCCGGCUCAACUGGGAGGGUGCGCCGAAUACUGAAUGACUUGGAGUGCGGGAGAGGAAAGUGGAAUUCCUGGUGUAGCGGUGAAAUGCGUAGAUAUCAGGAGGAACACCGGUGGUGUAGACGGCUUUCUGGACCGUAACUGACGCUGGAGACACGAAAGCGUGGGUAGCAAACAGG